AAUGUGUGGCAUACGGCUCAGUAACACGUAGUCAACAUGCCCAGGGGACGUGGAUAACCUCGGGAAACUGAGGAUAAACCGCGACAGGUCACUACUUCUGGAAUGGGUAAUGACCCAAACCUAUAUGGCCCCUGGAUUGGACUGCGGCCGAUCAGGCUGUUGGUGAGGUAAUGGCCCACCAAACCUGUAACCGGUACGGGCUCUGAGAGGAGGAGCCCGGAGAUGGGCACUGAGACAAGGGCCCAGGCCCUAUGGGGCGCAGCAGGCGCGAAACCUCUGCAAUAGGCGAAAGCUUGACAGGGUUACUCUGAGUGAUUUCCGUUAAGGAGAUCUUUUGGCACCUCUAAAAAUGGUGCAGAAUAAGGGGUGGGCAAGUCUGGUGUCAGCCGCCGCGGUAAUACCAGCACCCCGAGUGGUCGGGACGUUUAUUGGGCCUAAAGCAUCCGUAGCCGGUUCUACAAGUCUUCCGUUAAAUCCACCUGCUCAACAGAUGGGCUGCGGAAGAUACUAUGGAGCUAGGAGGCGGGAGAGGCAAGCGGUACUCGAUGGGUAGGGGUAAAAUCCGUUGAUCCAUUGAAGACCACCAGUGGCGAAGGCGGCUUGCCAGAACGCGCUCGACGGUGAGGGAUGAAAGCUGGGGGAGCAAACCGGAUUAGAUACCCGGGUAGUCCCAGCUGUAAACGAUGCAGACUCGGUGAUGAGUUGGCUUUAUGCCAACUCAGUGCCGCAGGGAAGCCGUUAAGUUUGCCGCCUGGGGAGUACGGUCGCAAGACUGAAACUUAAAGGAAUUGGCGGGGGAGCACCACAAGGGGUGAAGCCUGCGGUUCAAUUGGAUUCAACGCCGGA
rnacentral:rRNA from 1 species